UCUAAUCAAUCUCAAAAGAAGUGAUUGUUGUCAUCUUUAUAAACUGCUGUAAGUACUUAAAUUCUGCCCUGCAAAACAUCAGCUUAAGAGUACCUGGAGGAGGAUCUUAGUGGGUCUGGUGACAGGUUUGAGCUAAGGGACACAGUUCACUUUACAUUUUAUCAAUAUAUGACAGUUAAUGUGGAAAAAGUUGAGUUUAGGGCUUGCAAAUCCCUUGCCUUUUCAAGCUAGGUGAUGUAUAGUGCAUGAGAGUUGCUGGCAGCAUUUCUUCAAAAAAAUUGCCACGUGUUCAUUUUAUGUUGCAGUGGCCAAUGGAGAGAGAACAGGAGACACUGAAAGUGUAGAAUGGUGAGCAGUGCUGCAGCACCACUCCAAAAGCACUUGGGAGCGAUAAGUACAUGGUGAGGUGGUGAUUUAAACUAAAAAGCAAGUUCAGAUCAGCAUAAGGAGCCAACAUUGAAAUUUGAAGUUCUAACUGCAAAGGCAUUUAUUUUGUCAGAGCACCUGACAUCCGAGGAUCACAGCAUCCUGAACAACUUCAAAUAAUGAGCUGUGGUGGUGUGGAGUCCACAGAGGAAAUCAAGAUGCUGUGUGUGCAACCAAGAGAAUUUUGCUGGUCAAUUCACCAAAUCUAAGAGCAGACCUUGAGUCUCUUUGCUGGGUGGGGUUUUUUUCCUUGGUUGUUUUUUGGUUUUUUUUCAUUAAAUCUCAUUUUCUCACAGUGUCCCUGUAAAACCAGCAGGUUUUCUUCCCUCUGCAGUUAGAAGGCCUGGUGCUCCUUGUUCAUACUAGAGCUCUGUCCACACCAGAAGAAUGGGACUCUCUUAUAACAACAGAAAAUACAAAUAGACUAGAAGAAAUGCUUUGCAAAAUCCCAGCUCAGCUGAGGGUAGAUGUGCCAGGAAAGACCAACCUUUUUGCUCCAACAGUUUAAGGAUCUGGGAGUGCUCUCUCAAAGUGGGAAUGAGAAAACCAGUCACUAAGUUAUGAGGAAGAUUAAUGCUGUGCAGGAAAAUGAGCUAAUGCAAAAAUCAGUUCAAAUUCGAUGUAUUUGUACAAUGAUGGGACAGGGUUUUUUCCUUGGCUCCCUGAGAGUGCAGAACUAAUAAUUAAAAACAUCUAUAUUGCACAAAGUAAUAAACAUCCUCUAUGCAGUAAAGGAGGGUAUUGUGCUUGCUGGUUUGCCUUUCCCCUCCUUCACUCUUCCCCUAUUUACAGUUAGAGACUGAAAUAAGACGAGGGACUCUUUUUUUAUUAUUAUUUUCUGGGGGAUAAGGG